CCUUGCUGACUCCUAAUUUCUCUCAGCCAUCAUGGGGUCACUCACUGUUGGCCAUGUAGGAUCUGGGAUUGAGCCCUCUGUCUGGAUUGAUGACAUAGUUUCCUUCUCCUACCUGAUGACCGACCAGAAAAACUUCGGUCACCUCUAAGAUCUGAAGUCCAGCAUGUGCCAAGGGUCAAGUCCUGCUGGCUCUGUUCUGCUCCAUGAUGGUCCAACCAGUGCCCAAGAGUCUGAAGUCCUCCUCUCUUGAAAGUCUCUUCCAGGGUGCCAUGCAUCUUAGUCAUUUGUCCUAAUAAUUUAUUACAGAAUUAAGU